UACCCCACGGGGGAGCCUCAGUAGCGGCGGAGUGAAGGCGGCAAAGAGCUCAAGAUUUGAAAUCGUGCUUUGCGGCACGAGUUGUAGAUUGCAGGUUGGAGUCUGUGUGGAAGGCGGUGUCCAAGUCCCUUGGAACAGGGCGCCCAGGAGGGUGAGAGCCCCGUGGGAUGCCGGCGGAAGCAGUGAGGCCCUUCUGACGAGUCGAGUUGUUUGGGAAU
rnacentral:rRNA from 1 species